CUUUUUAACGGUUAAGUUAGAAAGGGCGCACGGUGGAUGCCUUGGCACUAGGAGCCGAUGAAGGACGGGACGAACACCGAUAUGCUUCGGGGAGCUGUAAGCAAGCUUUGAUCCGGAGAUUUCCGAAUGGGGAAACCCACCACUCGUAAUGGAGUGGUAUCCAUAUCUGAAUACAUAGGAUAUGAGAAGGCAGACCCGGGGAACUGAAACAUCUAAGUACC
rnacentral:rRNA from 1 species